UCGAGGCGCCGACCCGUUUGACCGUUGUGCAGCUGGCGUCUAUGCGGGCAGGCGGUCAUUUCGUUUCGUGGAUUUGGAAGAUGUUCGAGCCACAGACGAACGCCGGAAUGAAAGGUCCCAGGAUCAAGGGCCUGAUGAAGGUCAUCUAGGAAAGAGACCAGUUGGAUUUCGCAAGAGAAAUGUUUCCUAAAUGCAUUUGACUAUGGGAAUGCUAAUUAAAGAAAUUGGGCGAUAGCUACUUGCACAGUGUGUAUCACCAUAUUUAAACAAGAGAACCACCUUCACGACAGACCAAUCAUCAGGAAUGCAACCAGACUCUAGCGACUGCAUAAAAAUGUUAGUUAGAAAUAAUGCCGAACAUGUGGCCGUGUUUUUCAAAAACUUUGUAUUAAAAUCAUCAUGCCCAGACCUAGCAGAUAGUUUGAGAGUAUCAACUAUCUUAAUAUUGACGUAGGUAGCAAUUAGUAUAGGAUCCAUAAUAAUGUA